GAGAAAGACAUAGAGGCUAUGAUAUUGGCUU
rnacentral:tRNA from 1 species